CAUCAAAAAAUGACACCAUGAAGUUUGCAAGCAAAUGGAUGGAACCAGAAGAAAAUCAUUCUGGGUACUUGGAAGUCACUAAUCUGCUUUCUGCUCAUAUAAUUUUGAUCACUCAACUGCCUUACGGAUUGAGCCCAGGCCUUUAAGGAUACCAAUCUUUCUGUCUCUGUCACACCACUACACUUUUUGCUAUAUGAACUAAUUUAUUUUUGGACCCC